CUGUUGCUCACACCUGGUGGCCCCGGUGCUUAUGCUUGGGGUCACAAUGGGGUUGUGAGGAAGGAGGAGGAUGGAAGAAAAGGGGAACAUUGGACAGUGGAUCGUGAUGCAAAGGAAAGCUAAAGACUUCGCCAGGCUGAGAAGCAGUACCAGUUGACCUUUUCCCGCUUGCACAUCCUAAGCCUGAGUUUAAGAUUGUCUCUGCACUCAGGCAGCGUCCUUUGGCCCAUCUGAAAGUGGGCCAGUUCUGCUGGCUCCUCUCCUUUCUGGGAAGGUCACGCAAGUCCCUGAGCCAAGACGAACAGAAGGUACCAAUCCCAGGACUAUGGGGCAGACUCAGGAGGCAGCACAUGGGGAACAUUCUCAGACUUGGUAAGUAGCUGGCCCGCUGA